rnacentral:lncRNA from 1 species
AUUUCUCCUCUAGUUAUAAGGAUCUAGAUUGUUUGAAAAAGAUGAGGACUUGAUAAACAAAAAAAAACACGGAGUUUUCUAUUGAAAUCAACAAUACUGACAUAUGUUUACGUACUUAGUCACAAGAUUAGAACGAAUCUGUAUCAUAUCAUCAGCUAAGAUUGGUUGUGAGCUGGUUUGGUUGUCUUCGUGUUUUUGUAAAAGAUUUUUUUAAGGUGCUUGUUUUUUGUAUUUUGAAAAUUACGGCGACAUCUUUCAAUUUUAGGUGAGAAGCAUAUCGACUUCAAAUUUUUAAUUUUUUUUAAUUGGAUUUCUCUUUUUUCCACUGCAAUAUGACCGUACUGUCCAUCAAGCUUCAACACCAUUAACGACAGUACGAGAAAUGACUAAUAAAAUUAAAAUUAUUAGAUAGGUACUUUUUGUUUGUUCUCUUACUAGAUUCGGACAAAGUUUAUCAAUUUAGUUAGCUGUGCCAUCAAAAUAUAGGAAUAGCAAUUUACUCCAUUUGUAUCCAACUUUAUUUAGCCAUGGUGGAGCCAGUUUUUUGUUUAGAUCUGACGGCAUUGGUGGUUCUUCAUUCAAAAACUUGCAACGGAUUUAAAAAGAACAUAGAUAAUAACAAUACUUUAUAGAAAUAAUGGAGAAGAAAAUAGUAUGAUUAAUCAUAUGAAAAACUACAAGGUACAUGCUUAGCUAUUUGAUAGUUAGUUUUUUUAUUUAAAAAAUAUUUGAUUAUCUAAAAAAA